rnacentral:misc_RNA from 1 species
GAUGAAGAACGCAGCGAAAUGCGAUAAAGUAAUGUGAAUUGCAGAAUUCAGUGAAUCAUCGAAUCUUUGAACGCAUAUUGCGCCCUCUGGCAUUCCGGGGGGCAUGCCUGUUCGAGCGUCAUUUUAAAAUACUCUCAAGCAUAGCUUGGUAUUGGGCUCCCAUCCACACUGGAUGGGCCUAAAACCUAGUGGCGAUACCCCCUUUUGUGGCUUCAAGCGUAGUAAAAAACUCGUCUUGAUUGAACAGGUUUUGGGGGGAAUGUGUUGUCUGCCAAAAAAAAAAAUUUUUUUUAAAAAGGGUUGACCUCGGAUUAGGUAGGAGUACCCGCUGAACUUAAGCAUAUCAAUAAGCGGAGGA